rnacentral:rRNA from 1 species
GACGAACGCUGGCGGCGUGCUUAACACAUGCAAGUCGAACGGAAAGGCCCUGCUUUUGUGGGGUGCUCGAGUGGCGAACGGGUGAGUAACACGUGAGUAACCUGCCCUUGACUUUGGGAUAACUUCAGGAAACUGGGGCUAAUACCGGAUAGGAGCUCCUGCUGCAUGGUGGGGGUUGGAAAGUUUCGGCGGUUGGGGAUGGACUCGCGGCUUAUCAGCUUGUUGGUGGGGUAGUGGCUUACCAAGGCUUUGACGGGUAGCCGGCCUGAGAGGGUGACCGGCCACAUUGGGACUGAGAUGCGGCCCAGACUCCUACGGGAGGCAGCAGUGGGGAAUAUUGCACAAUGGGCGGAAGCCUGAUGCAGCAACGCCGCGUGCGGGAUGACGGCCUUCGGGUUGUAAACCGCUUUCGCCUGUGAUGAAGCGUGAGUGACGGUAAUGGGUAAAGAAGCACCGGCUAACUACGUG